rnacentral:lncRNA from 1 species
GCACUUCAUUGUUGAGACAGGAUGUCUUCUUACAUAGUAAGUUUUGAUUAAACAUUUUGAUUCGUUUGCAGUUUAUAGAUUCAAACUCAGUAAACUUGUAUACUAGAUUUGGUGACUUGCACAAUGAACAAUAGUUUUUAAAUCUUGUUCUUUAAGAGGUUUAUUUUCUUAUUACCAUCAUUCAUGUUAAAUUUUAAUGAAGACUAUUGUUGUCUUUCCAACCUUCAUAAUUGUAACCGGUAAGAUCAAUGUCUUAUUGUGAUUUUCCUUGUUCAACCGAGUAGGAUCACAGUGAAUUAUAGAAAUUUUCCUCAUCCAUCUUACUUACAUAUCUUGGUAUUUAGAAUUGUUAUAUAUAUAUAUAUAUAUAUCUUGAUAUCUUAGUCUUUUCAAUAUUCUGUCAUUUUUGUUCUUUCAAAUGUUGUGUGGCCAAACCUAGCUGUAGGACUUCUUUGUUGUGAUCAAUAUUAAUAUUUGAGAUCAAUAUAUUUUUGUUCUAAUUUGAGUUAUGAGAUGCAUACAUAGUACCAAACAAAUUAAUAAUGACAAAGAAAGAGACAUAGUUGGUUGAAGGUUGAGUGAUGAAGAAUGAUAAUAAAUUUCAAAUGAAUCAACAGCUAGAGGCAUUCCAUCACUAUUUAAAGUGCAUGAUUCUGGUUUAGAGCCAUCGGUGCUCUACAAUAAAGCGCGAAGAACGUCAGAAACCGUGUGCAUAUAAGCCGUUCGAUUCUUCGAUUGCAGCCAUGUCAAACCCAUUAAUUCACAAUCUUUGUUGUGAAUUUUUGUGGUCCUAUCUUCAAUUUUGCUUGAAUUUGAAGUCUUUUUGUUAAGCUGCUUAGAAGUAUUUAUAUUUCAAUUAGAAUAUAAAAAAAGAAGUCCUAUUUUUUGAUAUGAAACUCGAUGUUGUUACUUAUAAAUCUUUAAUGAAUGGUUAUUUCUUACUAGAUGAUGUAAACAAGGCCAAAUAUGUAUUUCACAUCAUGAUCCGAAAAGGGGUGACUCUUAAUGUUCGUAGCUACAAUAUUUUGAUUAAUGAAUUAUGUAAGAAUAAAAUGGUGGACGAAGCCAUGCAUGUUUUUAAAGAAAUACGUUUCAAAAAUAUGGCGCCUAACACUAUCACAUAUAGUUUCCUCAUUGAUGGACUUUGCAAAUCAGAGAGAAUCUCUGAAGUUUGGGAUCUUUUAGAUGAGAUGCAUGAUAGAGGUCAACCUGCUGACAUUAUCACUUACAAUUCCAUAUUAGAUGUUUUGUGCAAAAACAAUCAUGUUGACAAGGCAAUUGCAUUAUUGACGAAAAUCAAAGACCGGGGAAUUCAGCUAAAUAUGUGUACAUACACAAUACUUGUUAAUGGACUAUGCAAAAGUGAAAGACUUAAAGAUGCACAAAAGGUUUAUGAAGAUCUUCUGAUGAAAGGCUAUCGUUUGGAUGUUAGGAUCUAUACUAUUAUGAUUCAAGGGCUUUGUAAAGAGGGCUUACUUGUUGAAGCAUUAUCCUUGCUAUCAAAAAUAGAAGACAAUGGUUGCAUUCCUAAUGUUGUAACUUACGAUAUUAUCAUUCGUUGUUUGUUUGAAAACAACCAGAAUGAUAAGGCAGUAAAACUUCUUCAAGAAAUGGUUGUGAGGGGUCUAAUGUAAAAGCAAAACUAGAUGAGAGGCUUUCUAGUUACAAUUUGUUAUUUGAAUUUGAAUAUGAUCAUCUAAUUUUUUUUUUCGUUUCAUAGUUAUACUACAGGAUUAGAGAAAUUGGUUCACUGUUAUGUUUGUUUUAAUUAAAAGUUAAACAUUGCUAGUUUCUUGGUCCAAUGACAGAAGCAACUAGCACAUGAAGCCUCUUGGAAGAUAUCUUUUAGUUUACGUGCAAGAUUGCGGUUGGGGGAGGCAUUGUUAGGAAUUGUGGAAGGAGGAUAUUAACUGUGUACACUGGGAGAAAGAGGAAGAUAUUAAGUGAGAGUUAGUACUGUAAGGAAGGCUCUAGUUGAGAUAUAAAUAGAAGGGCUCUAAAAAGAGGGGUACAUUGAUGAUUAUCCUCCAAGUCUAAAAGUUAUAAAAGAAUUAAUGAAUUAUGUCAAUUUUAUUAAUCUCCAUAAUCGAGAAAAAAAAACCCAAGCUUAUACGACAAUCUUCCAUCCCAGUGGCAGCCGAUUAGUUCACAAGAAUUUUCAUGUGUAGGUCAUAGAGUUCUUAAAAAAUUCCAAUGGCAGAUAGUGAGAGUACAAGAAAUUGGAGAAAACUUUGAUCAAACUACUCAACUAGAACAAAACUCUCAAAUGAAAAUUGAACAACAAUUUGCAACAAUGAAUUUUGAAGAAAAUUCAAUGGAUAUUGAUACUUCAGAAAAUCCUGACGAAGAAACUUUGAGAGAAAUGGCUGAAGACAUCUGGCAGUAUGACUCACAUUACUCCCCUAGCUAUUUUUCAGAAGAAUACAUCUCUUAUCAGAAUUUGUCUCCAAGUCACUAGCCUAUCUUUAAAGACUGUCAAAAGAGUCGUGAAUAUGUCUUGUAUAAUUAUUAUAUGAAUAGUUGUACUUUUGUCUGCUUGUGUAAAAGAAUGCUAAUAAUAUGACAUAAUAGUCAAAAUGUGUUGUGGAUAUGUCUUCCAUUAUUUUAAAGCAUUUUAGUAGUGCUUAUAAUGGUAUGAUCAUGAAUAGUUUGUAUUUUGUUCUUUUGUGUAACUUUUUGGAUAUCAAAGAAGAUGUAUUGUAACAUAUGAACUCAGAAGCAAUUGAAAUAAAAUCGUCAGUGUGCUUAAGUAUAAAUAUGUUCUUCUAAAUUUUCUCUUCUUUUUGAAAACUCUAAUUAUUAUGUUCAUAUCAUAAAUCCCCCAUAAGAGAUGCAAUUAUGCUCUACACUCGCCUCAGAAAUGAGGAUCUUGUGUAUAAGAAAACAUCUUACUAUUGAUCCAUGCUACGGUCCUCUCUAUUAUGAGAUGAUAGUUUUAGCUAUUUUUCUGUGCUUGAGACUUUGUACAUAUGAGAGAUUAUUGUUUGUCUCGCUUGACUGUACAGUUAAGACUAAUCUCACAAUAUGUGAGGCUCCCGGCCAGCGUUACCACAUCAAGUCAUGCAUUAUCUAUUUGUAUAAUAGUACUCGUCAUUAAUGCAUUUGAAUAAUCUAUUAUCUACUUAUAAAUAUUUAUAUUAUGCUAAGUAAAAGACAAAGCACGAGUUCAAUAGUUCAAUGGUUGCCUUAUCAGCUUUUAAGCCUCUAUAUGUAUACCUUAAACAAAACAUGGGAAGAAACAUCCUAUUGUCACAAUUCAAAUAUCGUUUUGAAUCAUGUAACCACCAUAAUUUUCAUUUCAAUUUUUCUUAUGGUUCAAAGGAAGGGUUGUAUUAGAUUUGAUUUGUUUGUCAUGUAGAUAAACAAACCAGUAAUAUUUAAAUUAGUUUUUUAAAUUAUAAAGUUGUAUCAAUUUAGUCCUCUAUAUGAUGAAUAUUCAAAAUGAUUUUUGAGAUUGCAUAAUAUUAAUCAAUUUGUUCAUUUGUUUAAAUCUCGUAUAAGAUAUUUUUUUAUAUUAUUUACUCAAUUUCAAAUUAAUUUCUAAUAUUAUUAAUUUAAUGUCGUUCUAGUCUAUGCAAAUAAGCACGGAGAGAUAAAUUUGAUUAAAAAAAUUGAUCUUUAUAACUAUAAUAUUUUUUUUAUUUUGUUUUCAUAAAUUUGUUUGUUUAGUUUACUGCAAAUAUAAUUUUAUUUUAAAAUAGUUAUUCUGUUGAAUUUUUUGUUACAAAAAAUUUAACACUUUUAAUAUAUAUUUGAUUCCAUCAAGUGUUUGUGAGAAUGUGUAACAUAUAAUUCAUCCUCCUCAUUUAAAAUAACAACAACAACAAUUCUAUCACCCCCAAAUCUAAAUUCAUAAAGACGAUAGUAUUAGAUUCCCCACCGUUGGUAUUAGGAAAUCACUCAGAUGAAUUGACAAGGUUUUGUCACUAAGACGAUCUUCUAAAUUCUCCAAUCAAAAAGUUAUCCCUAACAAUGAGAAGAAAAUCAAUGUUAAAAGGAGCCAAUUUCAUUCGUGUGAUUUGAGGAGAGUAAUGAGUGACAAUGGUAAAGCAAAGGUGAAUAGUAGGGUUGUUGAAUAUGAAAUUGUGAUUAGAGAUGGUGUAAAAAAAAAGGAAGCAUGGUGACGAUGAAGUGGAAAGGUUGAGGAAGGAGGAAAUACAAGGUGGAUUGAAAGACAACAAAAAAACAGUGGGGUAAAAUUACAAAAUGGUGAACAAAUAAUCAAAAUUUGAUUUUUCAAACAACUUAUUUUAGUGUAAAAUCUAGUCUCCAUUUCUCAAUAAACAUUUCAAAACGCAAAACGGUGUUAGAGAUUUUGUAAAAUAAGGUGGACAAAAGAACUCUAUUAAAAUGAAACUGUAUUUAUAAAUGUAAAUCAAACAAAAAAAACUUACAAGAAUUAAAAUUAAAAAUAAUUACAAUUACAAAAAUAAAAAAUAUAUUUAAUGUUAUUUCUUUUCUCAUUUUCUAUAUUUUUAAUUCAGCUGAAUUUCUUAAUAGUUUAUUUUCUUGCGUAACAUUUUUAAUAUUGAUUGUUAUAAUUACAGUCAAUUUACAAAAAAGAAGAUACUCACAUAAAAAACAAAACAUAUGAAUCAACAAAGAGAAGAAUGUCAAUUUUAAGGUUAAGGUAUGCACACUCUAUUCCUUAAAGUAUUUGUUUAUUAAAGUAUUUGCUUAUUUGGAAUGUGAGCGGGAAGAAAACUUUUGUUGGGCAUUAGAGAGACAAAAAUUUUUGUUUGUUACACAAAAUAAAUUCCCUCAAGUAAUUGUGACAGACAGAGAUCUUGCGUUAAUGAAUGCAGUUGACAUUGUGUUUCCACAUGCUGUUAAUUUACUUUGUCGAUUUCAUAUCGAAAAAAAUGUUGGAGCAAAAUGCAAGCAAUAUGUCUUAAAGGAUAGACAAGAGUCAAUAUUGAAUAUGUGGAAAGACAUUAUGUAUUGUAGUAAUGAAAAAGAGUAUAUGAUGCGCUUGCAUAUGUUUGAGCAAUCAUGUGUUGAUACUAAAGUGUUUGUUGAUUAUGUCAAAGAAACUUGGUUGACUCCACAUAAGGAAAGACUUGUUGAAGCAUGGACAAAUAAAGUGAUGCAUUUGGGGAACACAACGACUAACAGAUAUUUAAUAUAAUUUUAUUAUAUAUUGUUGAAUUGUAUUAUAUUCUCUAAUGUAUCUGUAAAAAAAAAUUAUAGGGUUGAGUCAGCUCACUGGAAACUGACGUUAAUGUUAGAAAAUAACAUGUGUGGUUUUCGCGCUAUUGCAUUAUUGCUUGGUUUCGAUGAAGAGUGUUGGUCUUUGGUCCGCAAGAGAUUGAUCAAGAGAUUGUUUCUCAUGUAACUCCAUAUGAUAGAUUGUUCACAAGACGCAUUAAAGAAGUAAGAGAUUCGUUGAUGAUAUGCGGCUUAGGUGUUCAACCAAUGGAUAAAUGGUUGUCCAUACCUGAUAUGGGUUACGUGAUUGCGACAACAUAUAAUAUUAUUCUUGUCACGUUCGGUCUGACAUUUUCAAUGAUUUUCUUUCCUAUGAGGGGUUCACAUUCCGAAUCGACAAAAAAUGAUCGCAUUUGUUGUAUUGGUUUUGUUAAUGGAAACCAUUGGGUUCCGGUAAUUAUUUUCUUAUACUUUUUUAAAUUUUAUUCUGGUAAUUUUUGUCUUAUAUUUUGUUAAUUUAUUUAAUUUUUGCAGUUAAAGAUGAAAAAUGGAUUUCCAAUGUCAGACAUUGCACCAGGUUGGAAGCAAUAUCGCACCAAUGAAGCAACUUCUUGGGCAAUAUCAUACACAGGCCGUCUACAACACUGGGGGUAUUUAUUAGGCCGGUUGUCACGUGUUACCCAAAAUCCACCUACGGAACCCGUAGAUGCAAUGUCUUUAGAUGAACCUUAAUGUUUUAAAAUUGAUACAAAAUCACUUUAAUAUAACCGACAUUUCAAUUGUUAUUAAUUAAUUUUAGUUUUUUGUCAUGCAUUUUAGUAAUUGAUUUUAUCUUGUAUUUAUUUCAUAAAGUAACUGACAUAACAAUAUUUAAUUAUCUUGUAUUUAUUGCAUCAAACCUCUUGGGUCAAUGGCCACGAAUCUGAAGAGAUGUUUAUGGAAUAUAAAUACCCCAUAACUUCAGAUCAAAGCAUAACAAUCCUUGAAUAUAUACCUUGAACAACUUUGAACAAAAUUCUGAUUUUUUACAAAGUACUUGCAUUUCAUUUUCAUAUCAUUCAGAAAGGUUCUCAAGUACUUGAAUUGUUAUUGGAUUAUUUAUCAAUAUACCUCUCCUUAUUCUUAUUCAAAUCAUAUUGUAUCACUUGUAAAAGAAAGGAAUACUUUCUUAAAAAUAGGUUAAUCUAAGAUAGUGGUGUGUUAUCUUAGAAGUGUUGUUAGAAGUUUGUAGCAAGAAUCCUAGGGUGGGAGGUGUACAUUUUCUGACAAUUAGUGGAUCAAUCUCUUGUGGUGUGCAAGAGGACUGAACGUACUCUUGGUUAUAAGGGGAAUCAGGAUAAAUCUAUUGUGCUCAUCUAUUUACUGCACCUUACUAUUAGUAGACAUUAUAUUAACUCAAAAAAUCCAACUACCAUAUCAAAAUAACUAACAUAACAAUAAUUAAUAAAGUAACCGACAUGACAAUAAUUAAUAAAAUAACUAACAUAACAAUAAUUAAUAAAGUAACCGACAUAACAAUAAUUAAUAAAAUAACUAACAUAAAGUGUUCAUAAAAUAACCGACAUAGUAAUAGUUCAUCAAAAGUGUUCACAAAAUAACCGACAUAACAAUAGUUCAUCAAAAGUGUGACUACGUGAUAAAUACAAAGCUUUAUAAAAGUGAAUAUACAACUCAUCAUCUGAACUAGCUUGAUGUUGACUCAACCCCUGUUGUAUAAGAUCACCGAUCUGCUGUAGGAUAGGUGGCGGCUGUUAACUAGAAGCAUCUGCACUGGUGGGCGGUACACUAUAACGUGGGACCUGAGGUACACCAUUUGGUCGCACCAGCAGUGGAUGAGACACCUGAUAGAACCACUCCAAAUAUCGAUCUUCACACUCAGAUGGAUAUGUAGCUGGACGAAGCUUGUGAAAUAGCUCUGUCACUGGCGUCACAUAUCCCAACCAUUCCACAUCUACAUCAAAUAGUCUAGCAGGAUCUGGAAGUGGCGGUUAAGGAAUAUAUUGGAUAUAUCCAAAUUGUCUCAAACACCUCUCUGGUAGAUAUUUCACUACAGUGCUGCAUAAUCGGAUGUGACCAGUAUAAAGCGUGAUAUCAUCAAAAGGAAUGACACCGCUGUGAUUCUCCCAUAAUCUCCAUAUAACAUCUGCAGGUGUCAAUGCAUCAAUAGUACUUCUGUAUUCGUGGACCUUAUGAUUGCCUUGUUUAUAGCACCAUCUAUUCAUUCGGGCAAAACAUUCCACGUCAGCACCCUGAUCACCUCUAUUACAAAUAUUUAGAAAAUAUUCAUAAAUCCAGCACUGUUACAAAUAAAAAUAUUAAAUAAUUAAUACUAAUAAUGAAAUAUAACAUAAAUAAGUUAAAUUAAUAAAUUAAUGCUAGCAAUUAAAUACAACAUAAAUAAAUUAAAUAAAUAAUUAAUAAUUAAUACUAAAAUAUAAUUGAUACCUGAAGCAGCGUCAUAUAUCCACCUAGCAGUUUGGUGUCAUAAAGCACCAUUAGUGCAGCAGUACCCCAUGCAUAUUUAUCUAUACCGUCUAAAUAUCUGAAUAAAGGAUGGUACUUCCCAUCAACUAGAGUAUGACUCUUAUCAACGAAAAUAGUACUCCCGACUAAAUUCAACAGAUAUGCCCUAGCAGCACAGUCAAACCUCUCUGCUGCACACUGCAUUCUGAAGACCUCUUUCAACCAAUCCAGUCUAUAGUGCGCACCUCUAGUCUUUUUGGUUUCCUCCCAGAUCUCUUCCGUGGUCACUCCUAAUAGAUGGACGACAAGAUUACAUGUCGUUACUCUAUCUACUUCGGGUGGACUGUAGAACUCACCCCUAAUAGGCAAUCCGAGAAGAUUGGCAACAUCAUCCAAAGUAAUCGUCAUUUCACCAAAUGGCAUGUGAAAUGACGAUGUCUCGGAAUGCCAUCUUUCAACAAACGCAGAUAUCAAGUUGUUGUCGAUCAUCUUCAAACUACCCCGUUGUAAUGGGUUCAAACCUGACAAAUUCACCCAAUUCUCUAUGGGUCCCGGAAGUACUGGCGGAGUAAAUUGUUGCAUUUUCUUCCCAUGCGCAACAAUUUUCAGCAAUGUUUGCUCCUGUAUACAAAAAAAAUAUAUGACAUUAAAAUUAAAUUUAGACAACAAAUAUUAAUUAAUUUAAAUAUUUUUAAUGCAUUAUAAGUAAUAAUUAAUUUAAUAUAUCUCACCAAACCAUAGUCUAGUUGAAACAUGAUAACGGUAUCGUGUAAGGACAGACAAAUCAUAAGGUCCUCCAGGAUACCGUGUGAGCUCACCAGGUCCCUCAGCUGCAUCAUGUUCCUCCUCCAUAUGCUCUCCCUCAUGAGCAGGUGCAGCCUCCUCCUGCUCAUGUACAUCCACAUGCUCGUGCACCAUAUGCUCAUGUACAUCCAUCUGCUCAUGUACCACAUCUUCCUCAUGCACUAUAGAAGGCUCCCCCUGAUCAUGAUGUCCCUCAUCGUCGUCUUCAAUAAUCAUAUGUCUUCUUCUCCUUGAAGCUGUUGUUCGAAUUCUCUCUGGGAGAUUCAUCGGAGUCGAUGUAGAAGUCUCAGUGUCCCGUGUAAUUCGUAUGAUUUUGCCGUCUCUUCCUCGUGCACCCACUGAAAAAUUAAAAUAUUAAAAGAAAUAAAUCACAAUAACUUAUAAAAUUAUAAUUAAUUAAAUUAAAUAUAAAAAAAUAUACGUAACUUCCGGAAAACUUGAUGCUCAAGUUCUCUGGUAACUACCGGAAAUGUUGGUAAUCAAGUUUUCCGGAACACUCUUUUAUACUGGAUAACUUAAAAAAAAUGUUUUUCGGAACACUCUUCUGUACCGGAAAACUUCAUGCAAGAUUUCUGGUACCGGCAAACAUUACAACAAGGUUUCCGGAGUACAACUUCUGUACCGGAAAACUUCAUGCAAGAUUUCUGGUACCGGCAAACAUUACAACAAGGUUUCCGGAGUACAACUUCUGUACCGGAAAACUUCAUGCAAGAUUUCUGGUACCGGCAAACAUUACAACAAGGUUUCCGGAGUACAACUUCUGUACCGGAAAACUUCAUGCAAGAUUUCUGGUACCGGCAAACAUUACAACAAGGUUUCCGGAGUACAACUUCUGUACCGGAAAACUUGUUUUUCAACUUCUUCGGAAAUUUAUAAAAAAAACUUCUUCGGAAACGGAAAACAUUGCUGCCCUGGUAAUUUUGUGAGGUUUUAUUAUUUAUACGAGGGCAAAAUAGUCAUUUCAUUCUAAAUUUGGGGUGUAGGUAUAAUAAGGAGGGUACAAGGGAAAUUUUUUUAUAAGCAUGAGCCUGAGCUAUUUAAAUAAAUAGGAGCUUGAGUCUAACAUGUUUAUUAAAUAAGUCAUACCAGGUCAUGCCAUAACCUAUUCUCAUCUCUACCUACAAUCCAGUGUAUCUUAAUAGUUUAUUUUCUAUCGUAACCUUUUUCAUUCCGUUGAAUCGAACAUAACGAGUUUAGUUGGUUGCAAUUAACAAAAAGAAGAAUGUCAAUUUUAAGGUUAAGGUAUGCACACUCUGUUCCUACUCUCAUUUUCUUUCUUCCAAUUCGAUUAUUACACUCUAACCCUAAUCCUUCAUUCACUCACAAUCUUGACGAUGCUAUUUCAUCAUUUAAUCGCAUCAUCCAUUUAAACCCUACCAAACCCAUCUUUGAAUUUAACCAAAUUUUAACUUCCCUUGUUAAGAUUAAUCAUUACCCUAUUGCUAUUUCCCUUUUCCAACAAAUGGAAUUCAAGGGAAUUCAACCUAACAUUUUUACUUUGACCAUUUUGAUUAAUUGUUUCUGUCAACUAGGUCAACUCAAUUUUGCAUUUUCUGUAUUGGGAAAAAUUCUCAAACUUGGUUAUCAGCCUGGUACCAUAACAAUUAAUACACUUAUCAAUGGUCUUUGUCUUAAUGGUAAUGUUAUGAAAGCAUUGCACUUUCAUGAUGAUGUUAUAGCUAUGGGAUUUCACCUUGAUCAGGUUAGUUACGGGACCUUGAUCAACGCAUUAUGUAAAAUAGGUGAAACAAGAGCUGCCAUGCAAUUGCUCAGAAAGAUUGAAGGGUUAUCGGUUAAGCCAGAUGUCGUAAUGUACAGCACAAUCAUUGAUAGUCUAUGCAAAGAUAAGCUUAUUAAUGAUGCCUAUGAUUUAUAUUCUGAAAUGUCUCUUAAGAAAAUUUCUCCUAAUGUCGUCACUUACAGUACUUUAAUAUAUGGAUUUUGCAUUGUGGGUCGAUUGAUAGAAGCAAUUAGUUUGUUAAAUGAAAUGAAGUUGAAAAACAUCAACCCAAAUGUUUAUACUUUUAAUAUAUUGGUCGAUGGUUUUUGUAAGGCGGGAGAGGUUAAACAGGCUAAAAGUGUGUUAGCUAUGAUGAUAAAAGAAGAUAUGAAACCCAAUGUUGUUACUUAUAAUUCUUUAAUGCAUGGUUAUUUCUUACUUGGUGGUGUAAACAAGGCCAAAUAUGUAUUCGACACCAUGGUCCGAAAGGGAGUGACUCCUGAUGUGCAUAGCUACAAUAUUAUGAUUAAUGGAUUAUGUAAGAAUAAAAUGGUGGACGAAGCCAUGGAUCUUUUUAAAGAAAUACGUUUAAAAAAUGUGGCGCCUAAUACUAUAACAUACAAUUCCCUCAUCGAUGGACUUUGCAAAUCAGGGAGAAUCUCUGAUGUUUGGGAUCUUUUAGAUGAGAUGCAUGAUAGAGGUCAACCUGCUGACAUGUUCACUUACAAUCCCAUAUUAGAUGCUUUGUGCAAAAACAAUCAUGUUGACAAGGCAAUUGCAUUAUUGACGAAAAUCAAACACCGGGGAAUUCAGCUACAUAUGUGUACUUACACAAUACUUGUUAGUGGACUACGCAAAAGUGGAAGACUUAAAGAUGCACAAAAGGUUUUUGAAGAUCUUCUGAUUAAGGGAUAUCAUUUUGAUGUUAAGAUGUAUACUGUUAUGAUUAAAGGGCUUUGUAAAAAGGGCUUACUUGAUGAAGCAUUAUCCUUGUUAUCAAAAAUGGAAGACAAUGGUUGCAUUCCUAAUGCUGUAACUUACGACAUUAUCGUUCGUUGUUUGUUUGAAAACAACAAGAAUGAUAAGGCAGUAAAACUUCUUCAAGAAAUGGUUGUUAGAGGUCUAAUGUAAAAGUAAAACUAGAUGAGAUGCUUUCUAGUUUAAAUUUGUGAUUUGAAUUUUUGAAUAUGAUCAUCUAAUUUUUAUUUUCUUUUCAUAGUUAUAAAAGAGGAUUAGUGGAGAUGGUCACUAUUAUGUUUGUUUUGAUUAGAAGUUGAACAUUGCUAGUUUCACUGUGAUAUUUGUAACAACAAUAGUGUCUGUCUUUUAUUAUUCCUGAAUAACUAUCCCUUUUUCUUCCAAAUUUGUUGCAAAUAUGCUGGAUGCUUCUUGGUCCAAUGACAGAAGCAACCAGCACAUGAAGCCUGUUGGAAGAUAUCUUUUAGUUUACAUGCAAGAUUGCAGUUGGGGGAGGCUUUGUCAGGAUUCGCUAGAGGAGGAUAUUAAGUGUGUACAGUAUGAGAAAGAGGAAGAUAUUAAAUGAGAGUUACUAUUGUAAGGGUCUAGUUGAGAUAUAAAUAGAAGGCCUCUAAAAAGAAGGGUAUGUUUUGAUUCAUUGCAAUGAAACUGAUUUUUCAGUUGCACAAGGGAGAUAUUCCUUUGGCAGAGCUUGCUCUAAAUAGCAUGAAUAUGUAUUUAAUUUGUGUAAUCUUCUAUUUUUGAGCUAUUAUAUGUGAUGGUACUAUGGUAUAAAAUGAAGGCUGGAUGGAAAUAUAAAAGCAAAUUCUUAGAUAAUUGUCUGUGUUUGUUUGGCAUUAAAAAAAAGUGAGUCUUUUAAAACUAUUGCAUGUGCGGGAUUUCGGUAUGUAAUUCUGUGUUAUCUUAUUACACAGUGUGCUUGAUCAGUGAUAUGUUACAAGCAACAAUUUACACUUCUUGAAGAGCAUUAUAGAAAAGGUGAAGGAAGCACUUCAUUGUUGAGACAGGAUGUCUUCUUACAUAGUAAGUUUUGAUUAAACAUUUUGAUUCGAUUGCAGUUUCUAGAUUCAAACUCUGUAAACUUGUAUACUAGAUUUGAUGACUUGCACAAUGAACAAUAGUUUUUAAAUCUUGUUUUUUGGGAGGUUUAUUUUUUUAUUACCAUCAUUCAUUUUAAAUUUUAAUGAAGAUCAUUAUUGUCUUUCCAACCUUCAUAAUUGCAACCGGUAAGAUGAGUGUCUUACUGAGAUUUUCCUUGUUGAACCGAGUAGGAUCACAGUGAAUUAUAGAGAUUUUCCCCAUCCAUCUUACUUACAUAUCUUGCUAUUUAGAAUUGUGUAUAUACUAUAUGUAUCUUGAUAUCAAGUCAUGAAGUAUCUAUCUUUGUAAUAGUACUCAUGAUCAUUAAUGUAUUGAAUCAAAUAUUAUCUAUAUAUAUAUAUUAAUAUUAUACUAUGUAAAAGCCAAAGCACUAGUUCAAUGGUUGCCAUAUCAACUUUUUAACUUCUAUAUGCAUGCCUCAUAAACAAAUAUGUAUGUAUUCAGCUUUAUGAAUUUGUGUCUUUUCAGUUUUUUCAAUAACUCAAAUCAUAUUUUCAUAACUCUCAAAUUUGUCCCUCCAUAUAUAUGCCGUGUGAGCAAAUCUCUAGCGAUUUAAGAGCAUCUCCAACUCAGUAUCCUUCAUUGUGGUGUUUAAGUGGAUCCCAUAUGCAUGUACACGUCAUUCAUUUUUAUUGGUUUAACUUUAACAUUAUGCCUCUAACCCAUUUUUAUCUUCAAGAUAGUUUAUGAAAACAGGUUAUAUUAAAAUAAUUUAUCUUUUAUUAUAGAAAUAAUUUAUAUAAAAACACUUAUAUGAUAAGCACUCAUGCUAUAAGCGCUUAAUUAUAAACCAAACAGCUAGCGACAACCACUACAUCAUCAACAUAUGUCACUACAACACUGAUAUCCCCACAUACCCCUUUAUUAUACCUACUGUUUCAACAUUAAGCUUAUAAUGACCACUAAUUGGGGGUGUCCAACGAACAUCAGAUAUAGACAAAUAGGACCUACAUUUAGCAAUAGAUAUGUGUCUAUUGAACAAUAGUUGGGACUCUUGAAAUGCUACGUACCUGAAACCAUAUCUUCUUCGUGUUGGGGAGUUCAGGGACGCGAGAGCAACAACGGGUCAAAUGUUUCAGGAUGCACAAGAGAAUUUGACACCAGGUCUCAACCCACAAUCCAACAAUCUCCUCCUCAAGUGUGAGUCUCCCAUAUCAUAUACUUGCACUAUCGUUAUUACCAAUGAAAACCGCAUAUUGACUACACCGUCCGAAAUACUUUUGAUACAAGAAUCCAAAACUAGGAUCCAGUCCCCCCCCACCACCAUCAAGUCGAAUCAUAGCUCUGAUACCACUUGUUAGGGAGUCUAGGGAUGCGGGAGCAACAACGAAUCAAAUGCUUCAUGAUCCACAGCAGACUUUAACACCACAUCUCAACUCAAAGCCUUAAGGCAGUAGUAGUAAAUGGAUUAUCACUCUUAUAUAUCCAACAUUUACCACAUUCAUAGUCGACAUCAGACUUAACCUCUCACACGUGAACCUAACACUUCAAUCGAUGAUACUCCAUAAAAAGAUAUGAAAUUGACUCAUUUCAUUGUCCACAAAAAACAAAGAAUGGAUCACAUUUUGCUUAGACCUACCAACAAAAAAAGUAGUCCCACCUUAAUGAUAUUGACAGAGAUAUUAUCCUCCUUAAAAGCAAAGGGACGUGCAGACCACCUCCUCCACCAAGUAAAAAAAUCAUAUCUUGAUAACGGUCCAUAGGUAGGAAUCCAUGAUAAAAAGAAACCUCUUCCUAUCUACAGAGAAACACUUAAAAUCCUCAAAAAGAAAAGCUUUUGCCACCUAAUGACCCUACUCUUGUUACUUGGUCACCUUCAGACUAUUGUAAAACUUUAAAUCCUCCAAAAAAUACCAAACCAAUCCCUUGUUUUAUGUUCUCAGCUUCAACAUCAGAAUAUGACCAAUAAUUUCCUGCUUUAGAAGGAAAAGGGGACUCAAUCACAAACAGAUAAUCCAAACCUUUCAUACAACCCAAUGAAGUCCAACCUGAUGGAAAACUUAAACCUCUAACCCAAACGGAGGAAGUUCUAAAUUGACACUGAGAAAACAUGGUUGCUCCAAAUGACACUCUCAAGAAACUAAACAGAAAGGUGAAUAAACUUACUGAAAAAAUAGACGAAACAGAUGAAAAUCUCAAAGUUCUCUCUCAAAAAAUGCAAAAACACUACAAAACCUUAAAAGCUCAAGUCUCUCAGUUGGAUCAUGACUUAAGAAGGAUGUUAGAAGAAAGAACUUUUGGCCAAGAUUUUGACCGAAAAGAAAGAGAAAUCAAAAAGUUACAAAGCCAAGUGAAAGAGAUUGAUGAUUUCUUGAGAGCUUCCAAAGAAGAAAAACCUAAACCUGUUGAAGAUAUUUUCUUUAACCCUCCUAAUUUUCCUACUUAUUUCACACGACCAGGAAAGCCAUCUCCUCUGUACCCUACCUAUGCUUCAUCACCACCAAAUUAUGCCAAAUACAUACCCUCAACUUAUAGACAAAAAUCUGUCAGAACUACAAAAACCUCAACCUCCAGGUCCAAAGAAAAAACCGCUUGCUUAAGUAUAUCAUCCUCUGACUCCCAAGAUGUUCCUGAAACACCUCCUCCAAAUUUUCAAAAAUAAGAAAUUCCCGAUAAAAGUUUCCAAGCCAUGACAAUAACAGAAAACCAUGAAUUCCCACAAGGAAAUAAUUCUCUUGCACAAUUCUCAAGAAAAAAGAGUGAAGAUUCCUCUUCCUUUGAGAAAAAUAAUUCUUCCAAAGAUAUAUCAGUUGAUGAAAGAUCUGAAUCCUUUUCAUCAAUAUCAGAACAAGAAUCAGAAUCUGAAAGGAAUUACAUGAACAUUUCUAGACUUUUUACGGUGAAUGUAAAAGAGGAAGGAUCCCUUUAUGAAGAAUCAUUUGAAUAAAAUCCAGUCUCUAGAAAAACAAAAAUAAAUAGUGGACAUUGGUUCACGCUUGAUGAUAUACCACCCAGUCGCGGGAGAAAGAGACUCCUUGAAUUUGGUGUCUGGCUUGACACUCAGAUGAUGAAAACAGGUGUAGACACUUAUAAGAUCAUUGAAGAAUUUUAUUAUAGAAUGACAUGUACGUUGAAGGAAUGGUAUCAUAAUCUUGGUAUAUUCAAACAAGACGAAUUACACAGAUUAGAAAAUAUUGUUGUUGUCCUUGGAAUUCUUCACAAUGAAUUCAUUGGUGAUAUAGAGAUAUUUGAUAGAAAAAGCAAACAAGAAUUAUUUGAGAUGAAAUGUUGUUCUCUUAAAGUCAAAGAUCUUGAAAAACAUUAUCAAAGAAUGACCCAGAGAUAUUAUGUCCUCAAUGGAUUUAACGAUCAUAGUCUAAAAAAUACAUAUAUUUCCUCACUACCCCAAGAACUCCAACCAGAAAUCCAUAGGAUGAUAGUAACAGCUCAGAAAGAUAUUAAAGCCAUGAGUCUCGGCCAGAUACAUCAAAUAACAUUGGAGACACAUGAAAAGCUAUGUAGAUUGCACCAACAUUUCUCAGAAAUUAUAAAACAAAAAUCCAAAUUCACCAAGGCAUGCAAAAAGCCUUACUUGAAAAUCAAGUGCAAAGAUAACAAAUGCAGUUGUUCAAUAGAAAAGAAACAUCAUCGGAGAAGAUACACUAAACCUUCUAGAAUUUUCAAGAAGGAAAGGAAAAGGAAAGCUUUGAAGUUCUUUAAAAGGAAGCAAUUCAGAGGAAAAAAGAAAAAUCAAAGAUAUUUUGUUUGUGGAGAAAAAAUACAUUUUUCUAAGAGAUGUCCUAACAAAACCAACAAAGUCGUAAAGUUGAUUGACUCUCUUCAACCUCUAGAAGGAGAUCUAGAAUCCUUGUAUUAUGAACAAAGUUUUGCCGAUGAGGAUACAAUUUUUGCUCUUCCAAACUCUUCCUCAGAUAACUCUUCUUCAGAUGAAGCAUCGUUUGCUGAAUCAGGAGAUGAGAUGUUUUUCUAUUUACUCAUUCAAAGAAGUAGAAAGUACUUUACCUACCCCUCAUCUCCCUUGUGUUGAAAUCCAAGUCCUCGCCUUAAAGUUUUCUCAUCCCGAGAAAGUUAUAGCCUAUAUGGAUACUGGUGCCGAAAUAACAAUGAUAAACUCAAGCAUCCUCUCUACAAAAGCAUGGGUGAAACAUGUUGCAUACUUUGUAGCAGCAGAUGGAAAAGCUUUCAGAACAUAUGUGAUGAAAAAGGAGAAAAUUGGAAUCAGAUUCUUCUUUGGCAUUGUUUGGACAAAGGUCAUUGGUAGUAGCCUCCCAAAUAAAGAUAUUGUUGUGGGUAUGGAUGUUUAUUCAGCAGCAAAUAUGCUUCAAAUUAUCCCUACAGUAAUCAAAUUUAAACAAAAAUUUAAACCUUAUUCAGGAAUAUUAAAGUUAUAUUCCAUUUAUGAAGUUCCUGCUAAAUAUGAAGAAAAUAAGUUCAAACUGCUCAAACUUUGUGCAGACAGUCAUGAAAAAUUCUCUCAUCCAAAACCUUUAUGGACAAACAAAGACUUUUUUGUCCAACUUCAUUUCAAGCUCAAUGAGGAUAUCAAUCCAACCAAAGCUACUCAUCCAGGAAUGAGUCCAUCAGAUUUAGCUUUAUCCCGAGAAGAAUGCAACCAAUUACUCAAACAAGAUCUGAUAGAACCCACAAAAUAUGAAUGGGUUGGCCAAGCAUUUUAUGUUGAAAAGAGAUCUGAAAAAAUAAGAGGAAAAAAUAUGUUAGUAAUUGAUUAUAAACCUCUUAAUCAUUUUCUGAAAGAUGAUAAAUUUCCCAUUCUGAAAACCUCCUCAUUAAACAUCUUCCUCAAAGAUGCUCAGAUCUAUUCCAAGUUUGAUAUGAAGUCAGGAUUUUGGCAAUUCGGUGUUGAUCCUAAGGACCGUUACAAAACGGUGUUCUGCAUUCCUAAUGCCCAAUACCAAUGGACAAUAUUAUCAUUUGGGCUCAAGGUAGCUCCCUCACUAUUUCAAAAGGCCAUGACUAGAAUCUUUGAGCCCAUUCUCAAUAGUAUCCUCAUAUAUAUCGAUGAUGUGUUUUUAUUUUCAAAAGAUGAAAAUGCUCAUAAACAGUUAUUGGGCCACCUCAAAUAUGAGGAUCUUGUGUAUCAGAAAACAUCUAACUAUUGAUCCAUGCUACGGUCCUCUCUAUUAUGAGAUGAUAGUUUUAGUUAUUGGUCUGUGUUUAAGACUUUAUACAUAUGAAAGGUUAUUGUUUGUCUAGCUUUACUGUGUAGUUAAGGCUAAUCUCAUAACAUGUGAGGCUCCUGGCCAGCAUUACCACAUCAAGUCAUGAAUUAUCUAUUUGUCUAAUAGUACUCAUCGUUAAUGCAUUUGAAUAAUCUAUUAUCUACUUAUAAAUAUUUAUAUUAUACUAAGUAAAAGACAAAGCACUACUUCAAUGGUUGCCAUAUCAGCUUUUAAGUCUCUAUAUGUAUACCUUAAACAAAACAUGGGAAGAAACAUCCUAUUGUCACUAUAUAGUGUUGAUGAUGGAGACCCUCAAAGGAAACAAUUCAGAUAUCGUUUGAAUCAUGUAACCACCGUAACUUUUUAUCAAUUUUUCUUAUGGUUCAAAGGAAGGGUUAUAUUAGACUUGAUUUGUUUGUCAUGUAGAUAAACAAAUCAGUAAUAUUUAAAUUAUUUUUUAAAAUUAUAAAGUUGUAUCAAUUUAGUUUUCUAUAUGAUGAAUAUUCAAAAUGAUUUUUGAAAUUGCAUAAUAUUAGUCAAAUUGUUCAUUUGUUAAAAUGUCGUAUAAGAUAUUUUCUUGAUAUUAUUUACUCAAUUUCAAAUCAGUUUCCAAUAUUAUUAAUUUAAUGUCCUUCUAGUCUAUGCAAAUAUGCACCAAAUCAGUUUCCAAUAUUAUUAAUUUAAUGUCCUUCUAGUCUAUGCAAAUAUGCACGAAGAGACAAAUUUGAUUAAAAAAAUCAAUUUGAAGAGUCAUUUUAAAAUAUCAAUAUACAUGACUAAUUAAGGUAGAUGAUUGUACAUAAAUUUUAGCUCUCCAAAAUGAAUAAUCUACUUUAAGCCAUAUUUUGUUAUAGAUGAAUUUAACUUAAUAUUUUAUAUACAAUACAUAAAAAAACUUACAAUAACCAAAUAAAAACUUACAAUAACUAAAAUAAAACUAUAUUUACAAAAUAAAACUUACAGAAUAACUCUUUUAAAAUAAAAUUAUAUUUAUAAAUGUAAAUCAAAUAAAAAAAACUUACAAUAAUCAAAAUAAAAAAUAAUUAUAAUUGUAAAGAUAAAAAAUAUAUUUAAAGUUGUUUAAAAAAUAUAUUAAAAAAUAUAUUUAAUAUCGAUUGUUAUAAUUACUGUCAAUUUACUCACAGAAAACAAGAUACUCACAUCAAAAAGAAAACAUAUGAAUCAACAAAAAGAAGAAUGUCAAUUUUAAGGUUAAGGUAUGCACACUCUGUUCCUACUCUCAUUUUCUUUCUUCCAAUUCGAUUAUUACACUUUAACCCUAAUCCUUCAUUCACUCACAAUAUUGACGAUGCUAUUUCAUCAUUUAAUCACAUCAUCCAUUUAAACCCUACUCCACCAAUCUUCGAAUUCGAUAAACCCUUCUGCAUGGCUAAAGCUCCGACUACUUCUGAAAAAAUAUGGCGCCUAAUACUAUAACAUACAGUUGCCUCAUCGAUGGACUUUGCAAAUCAGGGAGAAUCUCUGAAGUUUGGGAUCUUUUAGAUGAGAUGCAUGAUAGAGGUCAACCUGCUAACGUGAUCACUUACAGUUCCAUAUUAGAUGCUUUGUGCAAAAACAAUCAUGUUGACAAGGCAAUUGCAUUAUUGACGAAAAUCAAAGACAGGGGAAUUCAGCUAAAUAUGUGUACAUACACAAUACUUGUUAAUGGACUAUGCAAAAGUGGAAGACUUAAAGAUGCACAAAAGGUUUAUGAAGAUCUUCUGAUGAAAGGCUAUCGUUUGGAUGUUAGGAUGUAUACUAUUAUGAUUCAAGGGCUGUAAAGAGGGCUUACUUGAUGAAGCAUUAUCCUUGCUAUCAAAAAUGGAAGACAAUGGUUGCAUUCCUAGUGCUGUAACUUACGAAAUUAUCAUUCGUUGCUUGUUUGAAAACAACCAGAAUGAUAAGGCAGUAAAACUUCUUCAAGAAAUGGUUACUAGGGGUCUAAUGUAAAAGCAAAACUAGAUGAGAUGCUUUCUAGUUACAAUUUGUUAUUUGAAUUUGAAUAUGAUCAUCUAAUUUUUAUUUUCGUUUCAUAGUUAUACUACAGGAUUAGUGAAUUUGGUUCACUGUUAUGUUUGUUUUGAUUAGAAGUUAAACAUGCUAGUUUCAUUGUGAUAUUUGUAACAACAGUAGUGUCUGACUUUUUUUAUUCCUGAAUAACUAUCCCUUUUUCUUCCAAAUUUGUCGCGAAUCUGCUGGAUGCUUCUUGGUCCAAUGACAGAAGCAACCAUCACAUGAAGCCUCUUGGAAGAUAUCUUUUAGUUUACAUGCAAGAUUGCGGUUGGGGGAGGCAUUGUUAGGAAUCGUGGGAGGAGGAUAUUAAAUGAGAGUUACUACUGAAAGGAAGGGUGUAGUUGAGACAUAAAUAGAAGGGCUCUAAAAAGAGGGGUAUGUUUUGAUUCAUUGCAAUGAAAUUGAUUUUUCAGUUGUAACAAGGGAGAUAUUCUUUUGGCAGAGCUUGCUCUAAAUACCAUGAAUCAUCCACUCCGCUCAUUUCAACUUGGAGUUUGAAAUUGAAAGUAGAAAAGUGACAAUAGAUAAUGUAAGAGAGCUGAUUAUCAAGAGGUAUGAAUGGCCAUAUAUUUCAAUGAAUUUAUGCAAUUUAUUGUCUUCUCCAUUCUAUCGAUAUCUCAAACACAGCUAAUUUUAAGAUAUUUGGUGGUUUUAUACUACAAUGGGUGCUAAUUUAUUUAUUUCCUAAGCUAAAUAUUUAGUACAAUCGAAGUUCUUGUUCUGACUUUGGUAUUUCUUCUAUUAUUCUAGUUCGAUAUUUUAAUGUUUUGUUGUGUGCUGAAACUGCAUCUCCUGUUUUCUGUCGUAAGUUUCAUAAUUAAUUUAUGUUGUUGUGAUGAUCUAUAAAAUGGCGUAAGGAAUCAUGUGGCCACUGUGUAGUUAAUUGCAGUGUUGCAUAGCGGCCCUGAGACCGCUACGCAUAACCUCGUUGUGUUGUGUUUUUUACUAGCGAUUGUAGUGGUGGCUGCAGUGAAGCUCAUGUAAAAACAUGAAUAUGUCCUCAACUUAUUACUGCUCUCUCUGUGUGUUCAAUAUUCUGUCAUUUUUGUUCUUUCAAAUGUUGUGUGGCCAAACCUAGCUGUAGGACUUCUUUGUUGUGAG